rnacentral:rRNA from 1 species
UACGUAGGGUGCAAGCGUUGCCCGGAUUUAUUGGGCGUAAAGAGCGUGUAGGCGGCCAGGUAGGUCUGGUGUGAAAACUCGAGGCUUAACCUCGAGAUGUCAUCGGAAACCAUCUGGCUAGAGUCCGGAAGAGGAGAGUGGAAUUCCUGGUGUAGCGGUGAAAUGCGCAGAUAUCAGGAAGAACACCAAUGGCGAAAGCAGCUCUCUGGGACGGUACUGACGCUGAGACGCGAAAGCGUGGGGAGCGAACAGG